GCCCUCCUCUUGCUUUUCUUGGUGUUUUUCUUUGGGAAAUAGGGCCACGAUGGGGCCCUGAAGGGAACGGUGGGGCAGGGAAGGGCUGGGUGAGGACGUAGAGUGAACAAGGACAUCUGGGCGGGGCAAGGGCUGGCUCCAGAGCCAGUUGUGCGGGGUGCGUGGCGCCUCUGGGCUGGGAUUGAGAGGCAGAGGCCUUUUGCCAUCCACUGGUCCUCUUGGCCCCACAGUGCCUCCACGCUCCUUGGACUGGUCAGCCCCACCGCUCUCAGACUUGCCUCUUCCCAGAAAAAGCACUCGUGGAACGCUACUGGAUGGGUUCUCCCCUACCCCCAGCUCCAUCCCGCCCCCUUGCGCACACACACCGCCCUGGGUCACCCUGUUCUCACUACCAGCGACUUCUACGACAGCGGAAAAGUCAAGGCCGAAUCCAUUCUCUCAAUCCAAGUUCUCCUUUCUUUUCCUUUUUUUUUUUUUUUUAAGAUUUAUUUAUUUAUUUGAAAGUCAGUUACACAGAGAGAAGGAGAGGCAGAGAGAAAGAGAUAGAGAGAGGCCUUCUAUCCACUGGUUCACCCCCCAGUUGGCCACAAUGGCUGGAGCUGCGCCGAUCCAAAGCCAGGAGCCAGGAGAUUCCUCUAGGUCUUCCCAUGUGGGUGCAGGGCCCCAAGGACUUGGGCCAUCUUCUACUGCUUUCUCAGGCCAUAGCAGAGAGCUGUAUUGGAAGUGGAGCAGCUGGGACUUAAACCGGUGCCCAUAUGGGAUGCUGGCACUGCAGUCAGCAGCUUUACCUGCUAUGCUACAGCACCAGCCCCUCUUUCUUUUCCUUUUUGAUGGGGCCACUGCCAGAGCCUGGAUCCAAGGCCUGGAGUCCAUACGGGCUCUUCUUCCCCGUGCACUCCCAGGGUCCGCCCUUCACAAGGUGCUGUUUGUCCUUUCUUUCCAAGCUUUCCCUACUUUUCUUCAUUCCCUCCGCCUCCAGCCCAGCCCAGAGUCUUGCAUCUGCCCCUCGGCUGCUCUCCCUGUAAGUUUUUCCCUCUUGAGCUCUCAUUCCCCUCCAUUCGUG
rnacentral:lncRNA from 1 species